rnacentral:rRNA from 1 species
CGAGUGAGCGGCAAUAGCUCAAAUUUGAAAUCUGGCACUUUCAGUGUCCGAGUUGUAAUUUGAAGAAGGUAUCUUUGGGUCUAGCUCUUGUCUAUGUUUCUUGGAACAGAACGUCACAGAGGGUGAGAAUCCCGUGCGAUGAGAUGUCUAGAUCUAUGUAAAGUUCCUUCGAAGAGUCGAGUUGUUUGGGAAUGCAGCCUCUAAGUGGGUGGUAAAUUCCAUCUAAAGCUAAAUAUUGGCGAGAGACCGAUAGCGAACAAGUACAGUGAUGGAAAGAUGAAAAGAACUUUGAAAAGAGAGUGAAAAAGUACGUGAAAUUGUUGAAAGGGAAGGGCUUGAGAUCAGACUUGGUAUUUUGUAUGUUACUCUCUCGGGGGUGGCCUCUACAGUUUACCGGGCCAGCAUCAGUUUGAGCGGUAGGAGAAUUGCGUAGGAAUGUGGCUCGGCCUCGGUCGAGUGUUAUAGCCUUCGUCGAUACUGCCAGCUUAGACUGAGGACUGCGGCUUCGGCCUAGGAUGUUGGCAUAAUGAUCUUAAGUCGCCCAUCUUC